rnacentral:rRNA from 1 species
CAUUACUGAAAGAAACGAGGGUUUUUGAGACUGCGUUCACAAUUAGAAUGUGUGCUCGACCCUUACUCUUUUCAUCCACACACACCUCUGUGCACUAUGGGACGCAAGUCCCCAUUUUCAUGUAAAAACCUAGUUAUAUGCAUGUCUUUUAUAUACUCUAAGGAGUAAUAUACAACUUUCAACAACGGAUCUCUUGGCUUUCGCAUCGAUGAAGAACGCAGCGAACGUGCGAAACGUAAUGUGAAUUGCAGAAUUCAGUGAAUCAUCGAAUCUUUGAACGCAUCUUGCGCUCCUUGGUAUUCCGAGGAGCAUGCCUGUUUGAGUGUCGUGAAAUACUCAAUUUCAAUCUUUUUGUUUGAAGUUUGAAAUUGGAUUUGGACGUUGUUGUGGAAGUUCACACAACUCGKUCUUAAAUGCAUUAGCGAGUCUGUCUUGAUCACGCCACAAUGUGAUAAGAAAAAAGCAUUGUUCAAAUCAAGUGCGGUCGCUUCUAACCGUCGAAAGACAACUUUUAUGUCAUUUGACCUCAAAUCAGGUAGGAUUACCCGCUGAACUUAAGCAUAUCAAUA